UUUUAAAAAUAAUGAAAAUUGGCACGUGAAUUAAUUAAACAAAACAUAGGUCAAACCAAAAGUCAAUUAAUAAGACUGGGUCAAAAAUAAAACAGAAGUCAAAUUAAAAGUCAACCAACCAAACUAGGUCAAAAAUAAAUCCAAAAUAAAUUGAAAAUGUGAAAUAAAAUUCCAAGAAAAGGUCAGGUUGACCAUGAGACAG
rnacentral:lncRNA from 1 species